CUGCAGUCUUUUACCAGGCAUCACAAACGUCUCCCGGUGACUUACCCAAGAACAAAUACGGAAAUUAAACAGAAACCAUGGAGAUCUAUUGUGGAAGGCCACUGCAUCACAGGAUGGAAGGAGU
rnacentral:lncRNA from 1 species